rnacentral:lncRNA from 10 species
GCAUUGUGAGAGGCCCAAGCCACACACAGAGGCCGCACACCAGUGCUCUGGUUACAGCCCCAGCCAACAGCCCUUAUUACUGCCAGCUGUGUAGAUGAGGCACCAGGUACUCAGCCCAGCCAGGCUCCCCAAUAACUCCAGCCCCACAGCUGCAUAGAAGUCGCUGAGUGAAACCUACCCAGAUAAGCCCAUCCAACCUACAAAAGCAUGAGAAAUAAUAAAACAUUACUGUCUUAAGCCAUUAAGUUUGGGUGUCAUUUCUGCCCAGCAAAUAGAUAACAAGAACAAUUGUAUGGGAGAGGUUGGUGAAAGCCAAGUCCCCUACCCACAGGAAGGGGCAGGUUCCCCUAAUUGCAUUGUGAGAGGCCUUUUCCUUAUGGCUCUUCACUUCUCCUGUUCCAAACUCCUACAGAAUGCAACAACUGGACAUCAGAGUCAACAGGAGCUGGGAUGACUCUCAAAUCUACAUGCUUCAUUGUACAAAGAAUGUGAAGCUCAAAGAGAUAAGGGAGGUGGUGGGUGUGGAGGAUUCAAGCACAGGUCAGAGGAAGCAGCUCUGUGCAUCUUGGACUGUGAGUUGUCCAUGGUUGGUUGGCCUUCACCCAGGCACCCACGGAGGAUGGUUACUGCUUAUCAGAUUAUCAGCAUUCAGGCUGUCUUCUCCCUGGCACAACCUCUUCUGUCUGCCACAAACCAGGCAUAGAAUUUUGAUGGAAAUCUACAUGUUUCCUUUUUGCAGACCUCCCUCAAGACCUCCUCCAUCUGCUGUUGGGCCCCAUCUUUUACCAAGGACCCCUCUCCAGAGGUUGCCAAGAAUGGUGUCCCAGCAUUCACACCCUUGUGCAGUGCCCGCCCAUAUUGUGUUAGGGUAAAUCUCUGUGACAGUAGCAUAUGGCAGAAGAACGUGGUGGGCGUCAUGCUGUGAGCAGCCCAAUGGAGAGACCCAUGUGGUAAGGAAUGAAAGUCCCUUGGAAGCAGACCCUCCCACCCCAGUCAAGCCUGACGUGUGAGAUCCUGAACCAGCACCAUCAAGCUAAAUCAAUCCCAGACUCCUAACCCUCAGAAACUGUGUGAGAUAAUAAAUAAUGUGAGAUAAAACCUACUAACUUUGGGGAUAAUUUGUUACACAGCAAUAAAUAACUAACGCACUCCUCUGUCCACAGUGAUAGUGCAAAACUCAGUCCCAUGCACCUUCCACAAGAAAGGUGUGUUCCACUAAAGACAUGUGGAGCCAUAGGGGAGAAUUAUGCACAUAAGUGUAGCAUUCCUUUUCCCUGGCUCUGUCUCUAUGUGCUUCCUCUCAGAACUGCUACCUUCUGAAGACCCACGUUGCAGACACGUGGCCUCUAUGCCAGGUGACAUCCCCUGGGACACCUAGUCCAGUCUUUCUCCCAAAUCUGCCCACUGUCACAUCACAUCUGCUUUAAAAUGAGGUCACUCUGUACCUACUACUGAUAAAAUUGCAUUUUCAUUUAUCAUAUUAUAUAAGUCCUUCCAAACCAACAAAUAUCCUUGUAAGAAGCAUCUUUUCAAUAAUUGCAAACUAUUCCCUUGUGUAUGAAUAGAACAGAAUUUAUUAACCUUAUCCAUUUUGUGCUACAUUUCAAUUAUUUCCUGGAUUUAUAAAAAAUACUCCAGUGCAUAUCCUUGGAACUAAGUCUUUGAAGAGAUCUUUAGUAAUUUUCAUGGGAUAAAUUUCUUGACAGAUAAAGGCAAGGAAAUGAAGAGAUUUUAGGCUGUUAUAGCAUUUGGUAUUCAUUGCCUUACAGAGUUCCAAAAAUAAUUAUGCAACUUUUGUUAUGAUUGAUAUUAGGGUUCUGAGGGGGCCUGCACUCCCGCUUAAAUUGUGGAUUAUUUAAAUGUAUUUCUGAAAUGUUUGCCCUCUGUCAAAUGCUGUUAUUUUCAAA